rnacentral:rRNA from 1 species
CCUACGGGAGGCUGCAGUGGGGAAUAUUGGACAUUGGGCGAAAGCCUGAUCCAGCCAUGCCGCGUGUGUGAAGAAGGCCUUCGGGUUGUAAAGCACUUUCAGUGGGGAAGAAAGCCUUGGGGCUAAUACCCUCGAGGAAGGACAUCACCCACAGAAGAAGCACCGGCUAACUCCGUGCCAGCAGCCGCGGUAAUACGGAGGGUGCGAGCGUUAAUCGGAAUUACUGGGCGUAAAGCGCGCGUAGGCGGUCUGAUAAGCCGGUUGUGAAAGCCCCGGGCUCAACCUGGGAACGGCAUCCGGAACUGUCAGGCUAGAGUGCAGGAGAGGAAGGUAGAAUUCCCGGUGUAGCGGUGAAAUGCGUAGAGAUCGGGAGGAAUACCAGUGGCGAAGGCGGCCUUCUGGACUGACACUGACGCUGAGGUGCGAAAGCGUGGGUAGCAAACAGGAUUAGAUACCCCAGUAGUC